GUAACCAACCUGCCCAGAUCUGGGGGAUAGCCCGCCGAAAGGCGGAUUAAUACCGCAUAAACCAGCAGCCCGGCAUCGGGCAACUGGUAAAGAUUUAUCGGAUCUGGAUGGGGUUGCGUAGCAUUAGCUGGUUGGCGGGGUAACGGCCCACCAAGGCGACGAUGCUUAGGGGACCUGAGAGGGUGAUCCCCCACACUGGCACUGAGAUACGGGCCAGACUCCUACGGGAGGCAGCAGUAGGGAAUAUUGGGCAAUGGCCGAGAGGCUGACCCAGCCAUGCCGCGUGCCGGAUGAAGGCCUUCUGGGUUGUAAACGGCUUUUCUCAGGGAAGAAAAAGACCCUGCGGGGUACACUGACGGUACCUGAGGAAUAAGCACCGGCUAACUCCGUGCCAGCAGCCGCGGUAAUACGGAGGGUGCAAGCGUUGUCCGGAUUUAUUGGGUUUAAAGGGUGCGUAGGCGGCCCGUUAAGUCCGGGGGUGAAAGCCCACAGCUCAACUGUGGAACUGCCCUGAAUACUG
rnacentral:rRNA from 1 species